rnacentral:rRNA from 1 species
UACGGGGGGGGCAAGCGUUGUCCGGAAUUACUGGGCGUAAAGGGCUCGUAGGCGGCCAACUAAGUCAGACGUGAAAUCCCUCGGCUUAACUGGGGAACUGCGUCUGAUACUGGAUGGCUUGAGAUUGGGAGAGGGAUGCGGAAUUCCAGGUGUAGCGGUGAAAUGCGUAGAUAUCUGGAGGAACACCGGUGGCGAAGGCGGCAUCCUGGACCAACACUGACGCUGAGGAGCGAAAGCCAGGGGAGCAAACGGG